GAUGAAGAACGUAGCGAAAUGCGAUAAGUAGUGUGAAUUGCAGAAUUCAGUGAAACAUCGAAUCUUUGAACGCACAUUGCGCCCUUUGGUAUUCCUUAGGGCAUGCCUGUUCGAGCGUCAUUUAAACCUUCAAGCUAAGCUUGGUGUUGGGUGACUGUCCGCUUCACUGCGGACUCGCCUCAAAAUUAUUGGCGGCCGGUACAUUGGCUUCGAGCGCAGCAGAAACGCGAACUCGGGCCCGUCGUAUUGGCUCCCAGAAGCUAUCUUCACAAUUUUGACCUCGGAUCAGGUAGGGAUACCCGCUGAACUUAAGCAUAUCAAUAAGCGGAGGA
rnacentral:misc_RNA from 1 species